GUGAAAACUGCUCUGCUUCUCCACUUGGACUGACACAGAGGCCUUCAGCUCCCUGGCUCCUGCACAUGCAAAACAUUUGAAUUUCCUGUUGGCUCAGAGUGUUUGCAUUGCAAGUGACAUCUGGCUGACAGCAACCUGGAGAAAUGGGAUAUAAAGUGAAUGCUGCAGUUACCACGGUAUCAUAUUUAUCAAAAGGCUUAAGCUACAGAGACAGAUGCAGAGCUGAACUCUGGCCAUUUGUGUGUGGGAAACCAAAGUGAAAGUCCAGUUGCUUUGAAGCUCUGUGAAGGCUGAAGGUAGAAGGAACCUCAAUUAUUUUACUUCAGCCCAUGGGAUCCCACUUCAGUUGCAGCUGUUUGAAUUAACAUGUCUUCUUGCUGCGUCUCCUGGCUGAGG
rnacentral:lncRNA from 1 species